UAAAGGAAUUGGCGGGGGAGCACUGCAACGGGAGGAGCGUGCGGUUUAAUUGGAUUCAACGCCGGAAAACUCACCGGGGGCGACCGGCCUAUGUGGGCCAGGCUGACGACCUUGCCCGAAUAAGAGCCGGAGAGGUGGUGCAUGGCCAUCGUCAGCUCGUACCGUAGGGCGUUCACUUAAGUGUGAUAACGAGCGAGACCCCCGUCCCCAGUUGCCACCUGUCCCUCCGGGGGCAGAGCACACUGGGGAGACCGCCAGCGCUAAGCUGGAGGAAGGUGGGGUCAACGGUAGGUCAGUACGCCCCGAAUCCCCCGGGCUACACGCGCGCUACAAAGGGCGGGACAAUGGGUUGCGACCCCGAAAGGGGGAGCUAAUCCUGAAACCCGUCCGUAGUUCAGAUCGAGGGCUGUAACUCGCCCUCGUGAAGCUGGAUUCCGUAGUAAUCGCGGGUCAACAUCCCGCGGUGAAUGCGCCCCUGCUCCUUGCACACACCGCCA
rnacentral:rRNA from 1 species